UCCAAGUUAUUGACUCAAGAACUGAAAAAAGGUUACACUACUUUACUUUCCUGAAGAGUGGCUCGGCUGCAGCUCAUUUUCGUUGCUGUUGUUUACAAGCACCGCGCCUCUCGGAGUGGAAACAUAGUAGCCGGGUACAAUAAUCUUAUUUUAUUGUACAUUUAUGGUUAUACGACUCUUUCUAGUUUAAAAUAGUGUUCCUACAGUUAACUAAAUGGUUCAAGAGCAAACCACCAUGCUCGUUGAGCGCGAAUUGCAGCACAAACGAGUACAAACCAUUUGGCCUGUUCACGGGACGAAAACAUAACCUCAGAAGCCGUGUAUUUUACCACCAAAAUAUGGAUGUUUUGAACAUAUAAAUUAUUCCAUGGCUUUUCUACACUAAGUGCCUCUGCAUAGUGCUAUUUCAGUUUUUCCUAUUUUGUUUUGCGGAUCAACAACUACAUUGCUUCAAAUAUUGAAUAUUCUGAAAACUAUAUAAGGCAAGCACAUAAUGGGAAGUGAUUUUCAAGACGAUGCAAGUAGAUGAAGACAAACAGCAGUAGUACCGGACAUUUUACUACUUAAAAGUUCUGAAUCAUCUCACCUUAUUCAAUUUUAAUCUAAAGUGCAAGACAAUAAUCAGCCGUUAUGUCUAAUAAAAAAAGAUCAAAUAAUA